UCUCUGUCUUGUUCAUAAUCUCAUUUUUCUCUGCAGGUACGCAACACAAGCCAGACUUUCUUCUUUACAGUGGAGCAGGAGACACCCGUCCAGGGUCUGAAGCCUGCCUUAGUCAAAGUCUAUGAUUAUUAUGAAACUGGUGAAUUUGCAACAGCAAAGUACACUGCCCCCUGCAGUACAGAUGAUAUCAAGGAAGUCCACGUAUAAAGCAUAAGGAUUCAGCUCAUGUUUUCUGGAAUAGCACAUUAUCGGAAAGAAUGAAUCUCGUAGAAACUAAGGAGGAAUAUGAUUUUAUAUACAAACGUAUUAAAUGCUCAGUACUAAAAUGUUUUAAUAUUUUGAUUGUAACAUGUUUUUUUCAACUGUAAGCCACCCAGUGUCAUUGACUGAAAUGGGUGACUAUAGAACCUGAAUGAAUGAAUGAAUAAAUAAAUAAAUAAAUAAAUGUUUUCAAGAUCAA